AUUGAACGCUGGCGGCACGCCUAACACAUGCAAGUCGAGCGGUUAGAGUUCUUCGGGACGCUAACAGCGGCGGACGGGUGAGUAACGCGUAGGAAUCUGCCUUAGAGUGGGGGAUAACACGGGGAAACUCGUGCUAAUACCGCAUACUACCUGAGGGUAAAAGGGUGCGAAAGCACUCGCUUUAAGAGGAGCCUGCGUUGGAUUAGCUAGUUGGUGGGGUAAAGGCCUACCAAGGCAAUGAUCCAUAGCUGGUCUGAGAGGACGAACAGCCACACUGGGACUGAGACACGGCCCAGACUCCUACGGGAGGCAGCAGUUGGGAAUAUUGGACAAUGGGGGCAACCCUGAUCCAGCGAUGCCGCGUGUGUGAAGAAGGCCUGCGGGUUGUAAAGCACUUUCGGUGGUGAGGAUGCUGUUUAGUGUAAAUAGCACUGAACGGUGACGUUAGCCACAGAAGAAGCACCGGCUAACUCUGUGCCAGCCGCCGCAGUAA
rnacentral:rRNA from 1 species